GGAGUAUAACACACCCCUGGAAAACUGAGCUCUUGUUGCUAUCAGAGUGAAGUAGUCAUGAGACAGGCACUUGGGGUGGGGCCUGGGCUCACAUGUCACCUUAGCCACACGGGCUCCACGCUUUCACAAGUUCUUCCCCGGGCUGAUGGGGAGGGAAGCACAAGCAUCCAUGCUGAGCUCUCAGUAAAGGGCGGGCAAGGUCCUCAGUCAACAUGCUGCUGAUGAUAAUGCUGGUGAUGAACACCUACGGGAAUUACAGCGUGGUAUUUAUCACCGCCCAUGAUGAGUGCUUCGUGAAGUUGGGACCAGAUCCUGCAGCCGCUCCUGUCCGUCUUGGAGGCCAGCCUGUGCACAGCCCAGAGCAUCACACAGCAGCCACGUGUCCUGGCCACGUCAUGCUGCAGCCUCCCCCACACUGCCUGAUAUUUUAGCAGGACAUUCGCCUCCAGAUUCACACUCACGGAGCUGCCUGUCAAGAGUAACUUCAGGUGAAUCACAAAGGAAGCAGAGAGGCACUCAUCAAAUGUCCUGUGCUGUCCCCGCUGGAGAGCCACUCGGCACGCGGCCCCCACAGGGCUCCCAGGCGGCUCUCCUCGGCUGCUCUGAGGACUCUGAACAAACACCACCAACAUCAUCUCUGGCUCUAGGGGUUCCUGGCGCUCUGAUCCCUUGCCACAUCUGGGCUUCUGUGCAUCUUCAGCCCCAGGACCUGUGGUCAGAUGGGCUAAGGGGCAGCUGUCUGUGAAAAGCAUAUAUUGUAUCUGAUUAUAUGGAUUGUUAACUUCUGCUAAAAAUAAAUUAUUUACAUGUCACUA